AUUGAACGCUGGCGGCAGGCCUAACACAUGCAAGUCGAGCGGAUGAAGGGAGCUUGCUCCUGGAUUCAGCGGCGGACGGGUGAGUAAUGCCUAGGAAUCUGCCUGGUAGUGGGGGAUAACGUCCGGAAACGGGCGCUAAUACCGCAUACGUCCUGAGGGAGAAAGUGGGGGAUCUUCGGACCUCACGCUAUCAGAUGAGCCUAGGUCGGAUUAGCUAGUUGGUGGGGUAAAGGCCUACCAAGGCGACGAUCCGUAACUGGUCUGAGAGGAUGAUCAGUCACACCGGAACUGAGACACGGGCCCGACCCCUUAGGGAGGCAGGCGGUGGGAAAUUUUGGCAAUUGGCGAAAGGCCUAAUCAGCCCAGGCGGGGGGUGGAAGAAGGGUUUCGGAUUUGAAAACACCUUAAGUUGGGAGGAAGGGCAGUAAGUUAAUACCUUGCUGUUUUGACGUUACCAACAGAAUAAGCACCGGCUAACUUCGUG
rnacentral:rRNA from 1 species